rnacentral:rRNA from 1 species
UAAGACAGAGGGUGCAAACGUUGUUCGGAAUUACUGGGCGUAAAGCGAGUGUAGGCGGUCUUGAAAGUCGGAUGUGAAAGCCCUGGGCUCAACCCAGGAAGUGCAUUCGAUACUCCGAGGCUAGAGUACUGGAGAGGUGGGUGGAAUUCUCGGUGUAGAGGUGAAAUUCGUAGAUAUCGAGAGGAACACCGGCGGCGAAGGCGGCCCACUGGACAGAUACUGACGCUGAGACUCGAAAGCGUGGGGAGCAAACAGGAUUAGAUACCCUGGUAGUCCACGCCGUAAACGAUGGGUGCUAGGUGUCGCGGGCUUUGACUCCUGCGGUGCCGUAGCUAACGCAUUAAGCACCCCGCCUGGGAAGUACGGCCGCAAGGCUA